rnacentral:misc_RNA from 1 species
UACGUAGGUGGCAAGCGUUGUCCGGAUUUAUUGGGCGUAAAGCGCUCGCAGGCGGUCUUUUAAGUCUGAUGUGAAAGCCCACGGCUUAACCGUGGAGGGUCAUUGGAAACUGGAGGACUUGAGUACAGAAGAGGAGAGUGGAAUUCCACGUGUAGCGGUGAAAUGCGUAGAGAUGUGGAGGAACACCAGUGGCGAAGGCGACUCUCUGGUCUGUAACUGACGCUGAGGAGCGAAAGCUAGGGUCACGAACCGG